AGCUUAGAAAUACACAAAAGUGUGUAUAAAGCAGAAGUUAGAACAGUUGAGUUAGAGAAUAGGGUAGCUGAGAAUGAGUUUAGUUGAGCUGAGGACAAAUUUGUUAAUUCCUACCCAAAAGAAGUUUAUUCUUUUGGGUUUAUUUU
rfam:Bacillus atrophaeus str. Dugway contig00035, whole genome shotgun sequence.